AUAUUCCUUCUUGAUGGGGCCAUGUUUUAUACCUUUGGUUUGGCAGCCGUAUGCUGGGCUAUCUGGAACUGUCGCAACCAGGCUACUUUUGAACGAAAACUACUUAAAACCCAAUUUAAUGUGGUGUAUGAUGCUUGUGAUUUUUUGACAUACUGGGCAGGUUAGAUGGCUGGUGAUGAUCGGGAGGCCAUGGAGCAUGGAGCCAAGAUGCUCAGGUCGAACGCUUAA
rnacentral:rRNA from 1 species